rnacentral:rRNA from 1 species
CCUACGGGAGGCAGCAGUGAGGAAUAUUGGUCAAUGGGCGAGAGCCUGAACCAGCCAAGUCGCGUGAAGGAUGACGGCCCUACGGGUUGUAAACUUCUUUUGUCAGGGAGCAAUUGGGUCCACGCGUGGGCUUAGCGAGAGUACCUGAAGAAAAAGCAUCGGCUAACUCCGUGCCAGCAGCCGCGGUAAUACGGAGGAUGCGAGCGUUAUCCGGAUUUAUUGGGUUUAAAGGGUGCGUAGGCGGGCAUUUAAGCCGGCGGUCAAAUGUCGGGGCUCAACCCCGGCCUGCCGUCGGAACUGGGUGC